UACAUACUCCUUCCGUCCGAAAAUACUUGUCAUCAAAAUGGAUAAAAGGAGAUGUAUCUAGACAUAUUUUAGUUCUAAAUACAUCAUUUUUUGUCCAUUUUGAUGACAAGUAUUUCUGGACGGAGAGAGUACAUG
rnacentral:pre_miRNA from 1 species